GGCGAGGGAGGGAGCGGGCGAGGGAGGAGGGAGGGAAGGAGCGAGGGAGGGAGGCGGCGUCUCCUUUAAAAGCCGUGCGGGGCCGCAGCCCGCUCCCACAGGGCGGCUGUGAUUGGCGCGGGCCCCCGAGCCUCCGGGGUCGUGACAUCGCCGCGCAACAAAAAGCCCCGGCGGCGGCGGCGGGCGGCCACCCCCGGCCAUGGUGCGGUGCGGGGCCGGCGGGGAGCCCGGCGCGGUGCCCUAGCGCGGCCGCUCCACGCGGGACGGCGGCGGGCGGCUCCCCACCCCUUUUUUUUUUUUUUUUUUCCUCUUUUAUUUACCCUCCUCCCUCCUUUUGCCUUUCUUUUUUAAGGGAGCGGAGACAAGUCAAGCUUCAUCUUGAUGUUGCUGCGGGAAUCUCGGUAAAUGUCCAUCUGUCUGAUGAGCGUGAUGCAAAGGACAUUUUUGAAAAGGAGCCUUUUAACUCCGUAGACACGUAGGGACCCAUUCACGGGCAGGCACACACACGCGAGGAGGAGGAAGAAGAAGAAGCAACUUCACGAUCGCUGCUUUUAAAAGGGAGAAGCUUUUUCCCUGGCUGGGACUUGCCUUCUGCCUCCUCAACCAGCUGCUAAAAGUAUGUUUCCGAGGCGGACUGCACUUCAGGGAACUUCUAUUUUCUGCUCGGCAGCUGUAGAGGAGCAGCAGCGAAGUUUGGAGUAACACCAAGUGAUGCGGGAAAAACACCCCGAGAGCAGAACACCCUCCUGCAGACACAACCCCUGCUGCUGCACACAGGUUGAUCAUGGUUGCCGUGACCCGCUCGCUCCUGGCGCUGCUGCUCUGCCAGGCGCUGCUGGGCGGCGCGGCCGGGCUCAUGCCGGAGGUGGGUCGGCGGCGCUUCAGCGAGCCGGGCCGCGCCGCCUCGGCCGCGCAGCGCCCCGAGGACCUGCUCAGCGAGUUCGAGCUGCGCCUGCUCCACAUGUUCGGGCUGAAGCGGCGGCCCAGCCCCGGCAAGGACGUCGUCAUCCCGCCCUACAUGCUGGACCUCUACCGCCUGCACGCGGGGCAGCAGCUGGGGCAGCCGGCGGCGCUGGGCUUCCCGCUGGAGCGGGCGGCCAGCCGCGCCAACACCGUCCGCAGCUUCCACCACGAAGAAGUUUUGGAAGAACUGCCAGAAACGAGUGGGAAAACAGCGCGGCGUUUCUUCUUUAAUUUAACUUCCAUCCCUACCGAGGAGUCUAUCACCUCAGCCGAACUGCAGAUUUUUCGGAAACAGGUGCACGGAGCCUUUGAGAACAACAGCAGCUACCAUCACCGUAUUAAUAUUUAUGAAAUUAUAAAGCCAGCCACAGCCACCUCUAAGGACCCUGUCACAAGACUUUUGGACACCAGAUAAGCAUCUCUCUAAACACAAAUGUGAUCAGCAUGUCUCCUUGUCCUUUUGAGACUCAGUAGCAGCUUUGUCGAGUGGCUUGAUAAUUUUUGCGCAAAAUUCAGUUGGACUUCUGAGGUCAGCAGCAUGUAGAGGAGGAUCUUCAGUUGAGGAAUACAAGGGGAAACAAAACCAGGAAAGGACGGAGGAGCCACACGUGUGCCUGGCAGCUGGGGACUUGGCAGUCUGACUCCUGCUCCAAGCCCUGCCUUCAGAGUUCAGCCUGACCUCAGGUAAACUGCACCACAGCUUCCCCACUGCUCAGAAAUAGUUAAAUACACCAUUCAUUCCAGAGCAUUUACAAACCAACAGGUGGGAAGCAUCACCUUGGAGCCAAGCACCUGUAAAAUUGCUUGCUAAGGUAUGUGCUCCCAAAUUCAAGGCAUGGAAAACCCAAGGGUUUCAUAACAAAAUGUGGAAAACCCCCUACAAAUAUUCCAACACUCCCUUUCAGGCCACACCCCAAAGCAAGUGAGACUAUAAUGGACAAAUCCGCCUCUGGCAGGGGGCCAGAGCCAGAGCACCCUUUGCCCAGUCUCAGCCUACUCCAGCCCAUGCAAAAUCCCUGUGGGAAGAGGCUGGCACAGCCCAGGCACUCCACGGCACUGUCCCUCUGCUCAUGGCAGCAGUGCCAGCUCAUGGUUAGCGUCUCGGUGUCUGGCCAAGGCACAUGGCAGACGGCUGUCUGAACCUGGGACCUGGGAAAAUGGGGAUAACAUCAGGAAAAAACAAAACCACCCUACGUAGCUGCUGCUCCAUCUCGUCCUGCGCUGGGAGAUGCCUCCUUGCCAUGGACUGAGUCAGUGCCUGGUCCCGUGGUCCUCAGCUCUCCACGGAGCUGCUGCUGCUCCAGGCUCGGGGCUCCUGGCAUGUGCCAUCCCACGGGCUGUGUCCCAUCUGCUGCCACAGGCAGCACUGGGGGCAGUGGCUAUUUGCACCCUGUUUGGGCUGGUUUGGCCCCCCUGUGUGGGUGUAAUGCAGCUCCCCAGCAGGUCAGGAUGGAGCAACAGCCCCUACCCAGGAGUGUUCACUGGCUCCUUUGAAAAAUCUCCCCAGAUGUUCAUGGCAUCUUAGGUUACCACAAAGUAUCUGCCUGGAUCUGGGCUUUGAUUCUCUACUCUGUAGCUUUAUUCCAGGCUGGCUGGGGCAGUGCCUUUCCCUCAGAGACCACAACUGACAGUUCUUCUCUCCGGGAGAGGGAGGAAUGGGGCAGCGGUUGUGUUUUGGGGGAGAGGGAAAGGCUGUUUGAGGCCAUGGGGCAGCUGCAGAGCUGGUGAGGAUGGUCAGGAAUCACCUUUUUCCUUCUCUGGGGGGGAUGGUGAGGUGGACGUCUCACCUCUGCCAGCUGUAACAGACGUGGGGGGCUGGGCUCCAGCAGUAGAUGUGUCACCUCCCCCAUCUGCUCUGCUGGUGAGAGUGGCUUCAUCCUGCAAAAUAAGCACAGAGAGAGAAGCUGAAAUUGCCAAGUGGGAAUUCAGUUUGUAUUAACUCUGAGAGCUGGCCAAAGAAGGAGAAAACAUCCAUCUCAGGAGGGUUUUCAAGAUUUGGACACUUGGCUUCACGUUUGGGUAUGUUCAAACGUGAUCUGUCAACUCCCAUCACAGGAAACAAGAGGAAGAACAAACAACUCAGGCUGCUAAAGUCAGGGCUGCCAUGGUUAGAAAGUUCAUGAAGCACAUGGCUAAAAAUAGGUUAGUCUGAACCCAUGAUGUGAACACAACUCCACACUCCACAACUGGUUAUUGUGGGGUUCCUUUCUCUCUUGUGCUAAAUCCUGGAACAUUAGGAAGUGAAAUGCAAAAACAGCUCUUAAAAGUAAUAAUAGCCCUCCUACCAAAAUUAAAGCUCAGCUGUGCAACUUCCACAUUCCUCAGCCAUGCACUUGUGUCUGAGAAAAUUCAUGGUAAAGAUUUUACUUACCUGAGCUUUGGGUGUCUCCAUUAUUAGUAGGCCACAAACGAACUGAGUGGAUGAUGCAAAAAUGAGUGCCAAUAAAAUAUUUA